ACAGCAGAUAUCACACCAACCACAACAAGUAGGACUCGGUAUCAACCUGGCUCAACUCAACCUCGCACAACAGCUCUGGAUUCUUCAGGAAACAGUAGGAGAAAUCGUGCUGCAGUUUUUGAUAAUGGUAUUAACCGAAACAAUAAACCACCCAGUAGAAGACAUCAAGACCAGCUGUAAUAGUGAACAAUGAUAUACAUCAUAAACGAACUUUUGAAAACAUUAUGGGGCCUUUUAGAAUUUUUGUUUAUUAUAUAAUGCAGAUUAAAAAAAAAAGACAUGUGUAAACUUUUCCAGUCAGACCUUGCUGUAGGUACUCCAUCUUUUGUAAUAACUUGUUAAUGAUAGUAAGGGCUAUUCCAUUGAAAUGUUUGUGGGAGGGUAGGAAGGGACUUUCAAAACUUCCAUUCAACCAAGAAUCAUUGUUUGGAUAAUUUUGCAUAAUGGUUAUAAAAGCAUACUGAAAAUUGACCCAUGACCUACCUUCCAAUAAUUAAACUCCACUUUCUACCCUUUUACACACAUUUUUACAGUAAAACAGAUGUUGUUCAUUAUAAAAAAAAUUGUUUCAAAUAUUAGUAGAAGAAAAAAUAUUUGCACUAGAAUUAUGUACAUAUGCAGCUUCAGAUGCUGUUCAAAUUAUAUAUUUUUAUAUGAAGUGUUUUUGUUAUAGAUUGGAUAAUUCCAAAGAAAGUUAUGAUGACAAUUUAUGCUGUGCAUGAAUUUUGAAUCAAUUAAUGAACUGUUAUUGUCUCUGUUUUUAUUUGUGCAACCUGAGAAUUAGGUUUAUUGCAUAAUUUAUGAAUUUAAAAUUUGUCUUCAAAAUGUACCAUUAAAAAAUAUUGUAUAUUAAAUUUUUAAAGACAGAAAAACAAAUUUCACAUUCAAAGAGUUGAGAAUUACAAGACCAAGGCCUCUCCUUAAAUGUGAAAAUCAUUCAUAUACCUGACACCAUAACUGUGGCAGCGGACAGAAUCAGGUUCAAAACCCUUAAAAAAUGUUGUUAUGCUGGCUUGUCAUUUUAAUUAUCAGUGCCUGUAUAUCAUUUUUGUAAAACUGUGUCUGAACUGUAAGAUCUUAUAGUAAAUCUACAGGAGGCCUCUUGAUAAGUAUCUCCAAAAAAGUAUACUCCAGUCUUUGACAUUCAAACUUAUCUGUAUUCAUUUUAACUUGUGUAUCAGGUGAUAGGUUAAAACUUUCAAAAAAAUACCAUGAGGACAUUUUUGUUUUGUUUUGUUUGUAUUUUUCCCAAACCCAUUGUAAUAUAUGAACUGUACAUUUUAAUAUGUGUAUAAUUCUAUUUGUUUAAUUUAUUUUUUCAAAGCCUUUUGCAUUAAUCCUUCAUUCAUUUACUGAAGGAAUGUCACAAUUUCAUUUAUCAGGACUUAGAUUAAUAGAUAUCCAACUUUGCUUAAGUUGUAUAAGUUAUGGGAUAUAGGUCUCAGUGUCACAUUAUGAAAUCUAAAACAAUUGACAAAUUAUUUUAAUUUUGCAUUUAAAAGUAAUUUGAUUAUAUAUAAUGUCCUGAAUAAGGUUUAAAGAAUAGAGAGUUCUGGGCCAACAAAAUUGGCAUAAGAAAUGAAAAAUUUGGGAAUGGGUCAAAAAUAUAUUGAAUUUAGAAAAUUGGUCUCUGAAUUUAGUGUAGGUGGUACCCAACACUUUGACUUAAAUUAGUUUGGCUCGUUUAAUUAACAUAAAUUUUUGACAAAAUAUUUACUUUGACCCUUUGAAAAAAAUAUAAAAUUUUCCAAAAACUUGAAGCAAUCACUUUUUAGGAAAAAAAUGGUUGGAUAUAUAGUUGUUCGACAACCACUAAUUUUGAUCAUUGAGAAGAUAAUAUUUCCAUAAAAAUACAACGUGAUUAAAAGGUUAAGCUGAUUUUGUAGAGUUAUCUCCCUGUAGUGUUAGGUACCACCUUUAUACAUUUUCAAAAGAGAGGUUAUGAUGACUAGCGUCAUUAUUCAGACCUUGAAAAAAAGCAAAAUUAGCAUAAUUCAUUAAAUCUUUUUUUGUGUUAAAUGUUGCUCUUCUCUUUAAAAACAGAACCAACCAGUUUUGUAACAAUAUUUCUUCAUCUCAUAAUGUUAACCUCCUAAUUUUUGGUCAGUAGUUUCUCGUUCCAUAAUUUGACCUAAUGAAAAAAAAUUGCUGAUCAGUUUGUUAAUCUUCAACUCAUUGAUAAUGGUUGUAUCCAAUCUGGCACACUUUGCAUAUAUUUUUCUAAUGGACAUAAAUUUGUGACUUUUCUGUUUUAAUUUUGAUAUGUGUGAUUAUAGAAGUUUUUCUCAUACCAGAACAUAGACAUAGUUAGUUCUGUAUAUUAUUUGAAGACAGCAUGGACAAAUGCCUUACUUAGAAAAUUCACACAUGUUAAAGUUGUUUUGUUUUCAAUAUAUGUUUUAUCCACAAAUAAUUUAAUUUUGGAUGUAACGCGUCUUCUGAUUGGCUGAAGUUAUUUUGUAGACAUAAUUUUGUCAUGUGACCGUGAUGUCAUCAACGUUUGGUUUUCUACAGUUUAAAAUGGAAAUAAGAAUUAAAUUAUAAGAAAUGGCUGUAAUAUUUCUUCUGUCUAUUCGAAAUAACAUAGAAAAUGUGGUGCACACUGUUCACGUUAUUCAGUGUGCACCAAAUUUUUUAUGUUAAUUCUUCAUAGACAGAAAAAAUAUUACAGUCAUUCCUUAACAAAACUAUCAGGUUAAACAUGUCUCACUGUAUUAAAAUAAUAUAGUGUAGAUUGCUUUGUAGUAUUGGUUGACCAGUCAAUUUAUUAAAGUCUUAUACUGAAGUAUUUGUUGACAAGUUGUUUUAGUUCUAGUUGAAUAUAAACUGGAAGGCAUUUGAUGCCAAAAGUAUUUUUAGAUUACUAUGUAUUUAAAAUUUAAAUGUUUAUUCACAAUUGUAAAAUAAAAUGAGCCAAUUUGAAAAUAAGGCCAUUAGAAUAUUU